ACGGGAGGCAGCAGUGGGGAAUAUUGCACAAUGGGGGAAACCCUGAUGCAGCAACGCCGCGUGCGUGAUGAAGUGUUUCGGUAUGUAAAGCUCUAUCAGCAGGGAAGAUAAUGACGGUACCUGACUAAGAAGCUCCGGCUAAAUACGUGCCAGCAGCCGCGGUAAUACGUCUGGAGCAAGCGUUAUCCGGAUUUACUGGGUGUAAAGGGUGCGUAGGCGGCAUGGCAAGUCAGAUGUGAAAGACCGGGGCUCAACGCCGGGGCUGCAGUUGAAACUGCCAGGCUUGAGUACAGGAGAGGCAGGCGGAAUUCCUAGUGUAGCGGUGAAAUGCGUAGAUAUUAGGAGGAACACCAGUGGCGAAGGCGGCCUGCUGGACUGUUACUGACGCUGAGGCACGAAAGCGUGGGGAGCAAACAGGAUUAGAUACCCUGGUA
rnacentral:rRNA from 1 species